UUAAAUGCUAUCAGUACCUUUGAAAAAGAAAGAAAUUAGCGGGAAGGCUGAUACGAUCAGGAUCGAACUGUAACUCCGCUGCUACUGCCUCCGCUUCGCGUCUUGGUCCCUGGCGCAUGAAAAGUGAAUUCUUGCUUGAGAAUGUCAUAAGUGAAUGCAGUUGUUAGCUGGGUAAUGUUAUUGCUAAUUGAAAGAAAUUGCCAGUUGAUACGUGAUAUUCCUGAGGAAAUCAAGACAUUGGCUGUUUAUGGUGAUCAAUUGAGAAUUCAACAAGUGUUGGCUGGUUUCUUAAUGAAUGUGGUGCGCUAUGCACCAUCUCCAGAUUGUUGGGUAGAGAUUCAUGUAAAUGGUUGGGUAGAGAUUCAUGUAUUUCCAUGAAUAAAACAAAUUUCAGGAGGGCUCAUUAGUCAUUCCCGAGUAUCAAGCUCAGCUUCAGAAGAAUUUGAUGUAUUUAGCUGCAAUGCCUGAUGAGCAGCCACAAACACCAGCCUUGCCUCCACAGAUGUCCCCUCACCCUUCGAUGCAACAAGGAUUCUAUAUGCGAGAUCCUCAGACUGCAGCAAUGGCUCAACAACAAGGAGAAG